UAGAGUACCAUUUGAGCAUUUCUUACUCUAAACUCUAUUUUAGAGUGAAAAAUAGAGUGGGGUUGGAGAUGCUCUAACAAAGAAGAGUCAAUAACAGGGGAGUUGGCUUCCACACCAAAGGUACCUGACUAAAAUUUUCAGCUUUCAGAUCAGCAACCGCAUCACGUUCACUUGUUGAAUCCCCGACAUGGUUCUUUAGCAGUUUUUUUCAUUCUUCUUAUAAAGAUCAGUAUAAAGCUCUCAUCCUCAUGUACCAACUUCAAAGCUGGAUUGAUGGUCUCUGAGUCUAGGACACCACCAUCAUUACUUACCAUUUUUGUGGCAGCUAAUGAAGGGGAUACCUGAAUACUUCAUAUAAUUCUCCUUUGUGUCGGUGCAUCUUGAUCACUCGAUGGUUCAUUGACUAGCAUUAUUAUACCCGUCUCCCAUUUGCUUAGUCUCUAUAAAGCACUCCGUCCUAGAGUUUACAACUGCUGCCAAACCAUAGACUAAAUCUAUCUCCUGGCCAGCUUUCUCAGAGAAGUUUUCAUUCAUGUCCAUCACAAGACUUGAUCCCUGAUAAAAAAAAAAAACAAAAUAAAAAAAACUCUCAACAUUGGUGACGGCGACAACGACAACAAAACUCUCUGAUUCUACUCUCAGUCGAACUACAGAAACGAAACCCUAACCUCGUGAAACAGAAGGGAUUAGGCGAAAACAUAAGCCCGCGUAAACCCUAAAAGAGAUAGAGGCGGAGACGACGAUUCCCAUGUCACUCCAAGUUUUAUUUUGUUAAUUU
rnacentral:lncRNA from 1 species